rnacentral:rRNA from 1 species
UACGGAGGGUGCAAGCGUUUAUCCGGAUUCACUGGGUUUAAAGGGUGCGUAGGUGGGUUGAUAAGUCAGUGGUGAAAUCCCCGAGCUUAACUUGGGAACUGCCAUUGAUACUAUUGAUCUUGAAUACCGUGGAGGUCAGCGGAAUAUGUCAUGUAGCGGUGAAAUGCUUAGAUAUGACAUAGAACACCAAUUGCGAAGGCAGCUGGCUACGCGAAUAUUGACACUGAUGCACGAAAGCGUGGGGAUCAAACAGG